AGUGAACGCUGGCGGUAGGCCUAACACAUGCAAGUCGAACGGCAGCACAGUAAGAGCUUGCUCGUACGGGUGGCGAGUGGCGGACGGGUGAGGAAUACAUCGGAAUCUACUUUUUCGUUGGGGAUAACGUAGGGAAACUUACGCUAAUACCGCAUACGACCUACGGGUGAAAGCAGGGGAUCUUCGGACCUUGCGGGAUUGAAUGAGCCGGUGUCGGAUUAGCUAGUUGGCGGGGUAGUGGCCCACCAAGGCGACGAUCCGUAGCUGGUCUGAGAGGGUGACCGGCGACACAGGCACCGAGGGGCGGCACAGACGGGUAAGGGAGGCAGCAGUGGGGAAUCUUGCACCAUGGGCGCCGGCUGGGUGCAGCAACGCCGCGGGCUGGAAGACCGUUUUGGGGGGAAAAAAAGCUGGCGGGUGUGACCCCGCGUGUUUGACGGUAACCAAAAAAAAAGCACCGGCUAACUUCGUG
rnacentral:rRNA from 1 species